GUCUACAGCCAUGCCACUCUGAACAAGCCCGAUCCUGUCAGAUCUCAGAAGCUAAGCAGGGUCGGGCCUUGUUAGUACUUGGAUGGGAGACCACCUAGGAAGACCAGAUGCUGUAGGUG
rnacentral:rRNA from 1 species